AUUGAACGCUGGCGGCAUGCUUUACACAUGCAAGUCGAACGGUAACAGGCCUUCGGGUGCUGACGAGUGGCGAACGGGUGAGUAAUGCAUCGGAACGUACCCAGAGGUGGGGGAUAACGCAGCGAAAGCUGUGCUAAUACCGCAUGUGAUCUGAGGAUGAAAGCGGGGGACCGAGCAGCAAUGUUUGGCCUCGCGCCUUUGGAGCGGCCGAUGUCGGAUUAGCUAGUUGGUGGGGUAAAGGCCUACCAAGGCGACGAUCCGUAGCUGGUCUGAGAGGACGGCCAGCCACACUGGGACUGAGACACGGCCCAGACUCCUACGGGAGGCAGCAGUGGGGAAUUUUGGACAAUGGGCGCAAGCCUGAUCCAGCAAUGCCGCGUGCGGGAAGAGGGCCUUCGGGUUGUAAACCGCUUUUGGCAGGAACGAAACGGUGUCCGCUAAUACCGGGCGCUAAUGACGGUACCUGCAGAAUAAGCACCGGCUAACUACGUG
rnacentral:rRNA from 1 species